CGGGCCGGCGUAUGAUGGUGGUACGUCUGCUUUGGGAGCAGAUAGACUGGGUUCGAUUCCCAGCGGCCCGACCA
rnacentral:tRNA from 1 species